rnacentral:misc_RNA from 1 species
AGAUGAAGAAGUUGCUGAUGAGUAUUGGCGGAAUCAUGUGGCUCGCAAUGACUCUAUUAUUGUCGAUGUCUGCCAAGGUCAAUAUAAAUCAACAUUAGUUUGUCCUGUUUGUAAGAAGGUAUCUGUUACAUUUGAUCCAUUCAUGUACUUAUCGCUACCUCUACCUUCAACGAAUAGACGGACUAUGACUUUGACAGUUGUGAGUGCUGAUGGAAGUAGUCAGCCAUCUCCAUAUACCAUUUCUGUGCCAAAGCAUGGAAAAUGUGAAGAUCUUAAUAAGGCUCUAAGCAUUGUUUGUUCUUUAGGGGUUGAUGAGACCCUACUGUUGGCUGAGGUUUACAAUAACCGCAUUAUACGAUAUUUGGAAGAACCAGCUGAUUCGUUGUCAUUAAUUAGAGAUGGUGACCGUCUCGUUGCUUAUCGGUUAAAGAAAGAGUUGGACAAUGUGCCUUUGGCUGUGUUUAUGCAUCAGCAUAUGGAGGAGCAGUACAUCCAUGGGAAACUUACUUCAAGUUGGAAAGCAUUUGGAAUUCCACUUCUAGGACCAGUCCAUAAUUUUGUCAAUGGAUCUGACAUCCAUAAUUUAUAUCUAAAGUUGCUUUCUCCAUUUCGAUUAGCUGCUGAUGAUUCCUUGGGCAGUAGUGAUACCUGUAAUAGCACCGCUGUUGAAGAUGCUACAGGAAUGGAGGAUAACAAUGAUUCUGCUUUAGGAGGAAAUGCAAAUCUCUCCAGUGUAGAAGGGGCCAACUCUCCCUCAGAUUCUGAACUGAAGUUUUAUUUAACUGACGAGAAGGGAACAGUUAAGGACUCCAAGAUCAUAAUAAAUGAGCCAGUCCCAGUAACAGGAAUGCCCAAACGGUUUAAUGUUCUUGUAAGUUGGCCAGAAAAACAGAUUAAGAAAUAUGACACCCUCCUCCUUAGCUCAUUACCCGAGAUUUUCAAGUCUGGCUUUUUUGCAAAGAGACCUCAGGAGUCUGUUUCUCUUUACAAGUGUCUUGAAGCAUUUUUAAAGGAGGAACCUCUUGGACCGGAUGACAUGUGGUACUGUUAUAUGUAAUUUAGGUUUUGUCCAAGUUGCAAGAAGCAUCGUCAAGCCAGUAAAAAAUUAGAUCUAUGGAGACUGCCAGAGAUUCUGGUUAUUCAUCUAAAAAGGUUCUCUUAUACCCGAUUUAUGAAGAACAAGCUUGAGGCGUAUGUUGACUUCCCUGUUGAUGAUCUAGAUUUGUCAGCUUACAUUUCAUACAAGAAUGGCCAAUCAUCUCAUCGUUACAUGCUUUAUGCUAUCAGUAAUCACUAUGGAAGCAUGGGAGGCGGGCAUUACACUGCUUUUGUCCAUCAUGGGGGUGAUCGCUGGUAUGACUUCGACGAUAGCCAAGUUCAUCCAAUCAGUCAGGACAAGAUAAAGACUUCAGCUGCUUAUGUUCUUUUCUACAAAAGAGUUGUAGAAGUUUAACUU